rnacentral:rRNA from 1 species
ACGGCCAUACCACGUUGAAAACACCGUUUCUCGUCCGAUCACCGAAGUUAAGCAAUGUUGGGCCCGGUCAGUACUUGGGAGUGUGACCACCUGGGAACACCGGGUGCUGUAGGCU